rnacentral:rRNA from 1 species
AUGUGCAAUGGAGGCUGGAUACGAUGGUCAGCGGGAUGGGAUGCAGCGGCUCGCAGGGGUAGCGCCUUCGGCGGCAGGCGCUGGGGAAAUGAAUUCUACUUGUGUGCUGGAGUCAGUUGCAUGCUAACUGGACAAUGCGUUAGCUUGUUCUGUACUUACUCUGUAGCUACCAGUGAUCGAAGUUGGAAGCUCAAUGUGUACUGCUCUAAAUUGCUUAAACGAUCAGGUGUCCUGCUAUAUGGACCUCCAGGCACUGGGAAGACAUUACUUGCGAAAGCAGUAGCAACUGAGUGCUCAUUAAACUUUCUUAGCAUAAAAGGUCCAGAACUGAUAAACAUGUAUGUUGGAGAGUCGGAGAGGAAUACCAGGGACAUCUUUGAUAAGGUAUAUCCAUCUGCACAAGCCAUGUAUGUAAUUGCCAUGAAAUAUGCACAUAUACUCGGGUUUUCAGUUUUCACUAUCCAUUUCACGCUAGAUCAGCAUGCCCAUGAGUAA